rnacentral:misc_RNA from 1 species
CAAACAUCAUGUAGCAACUGGGGACUACGAAGUAUACAUUAUAUAUAGCAUUGCAACUAUCUGAAAGAAAAUAAGGCAAUUCUAAGACAAUACAACAUCAUACACAUAGAUGCCCUUUUCCUAGUUAUAUAUGAAGGGGGGCGGCUGUUUCAGGACACCCCCGAGCUUUCUGUAUAUUACUAAUGAUACCAUCUGCUUCAUUAUAG